UCAAGUUUCUAAGGGCAAACGGUGGAUGCCUUGGCAUCUGGAGCCGAAGAAGGACGUAGCAAUCUGCGAUAAGCCUCGGGGAGCUGAUAAGCGAGCUUUGAUCCGAGGAUGUCCGAAUGGGGAAACCCCGCCGGGCGGCGUGCCGACCUGGUGACUCCCGCCUGAAUAUAUAGGGCGGGUAGAGGGAACGUGGGGAAGUGAAACAUCUCAGUACCCACAGGAAGAGAAAACAACAGUGAUUCCGUCAGUAGUGGCGAGCGAACGCGGAUCAGGCUAAACCGGUCAUGUGUGAUAGCCGGCAGGCGUUGCAUGGUCGGGGUUGCGGGACUUUCCUGGAGAUCUGCCGAUCUCCGAGGGUUACAGCGCGAUAUAGACGAACGGUCUUGAAAGGCCGGUCAUAGAGGGUGCCAACCCCGUAGUCGAAAUGUCGUUAUGGCCCGGAGAGUAUCCCAAGUAGCACGGGGCCCGAGAAAUCCCGUGUGAAUCUGUCAGGACCACCUGAUAAGCCUAAAUACUCCCAGAUGACCGAUAGCGGACAAGUACCGUGAGGGAAAGGUGAAAAGUACCCCGGGAGGGGAGUGAAAUAGUACCUGAAACCGUUUGCCUACAAACCGUCGGAGCCGCCCUAGCAGCGGUGACGGCGUGCCUUUUGAAGAAUGAGCCUGCGAGUUAGCGAUAUGUGGCGAGGUUAACCCGUGUGGGGUAGCCGUAGCGAAAGCGAGUCUGAAUAGGGCGAGUCAGUCGCAUGUCCUAGACCCGAAGCGAAGUGAUCUAUCCAUGGCCAGGUUGAAGCGACGGUAAGACGUCGUGGAGGACCGAACCCACUUAGGUUGAAAACUGAGGGGAUGAGCUGUGGAUAGGGGUGAAAGGCCAAUCAAACUUCGUGAUAGCUGGUUCUCUCCGAAAUGCAUUUAGGUGCAGCGUUGCGUGUUUCUUGCCGGAGGUAGAGCUACUGGAUGGCCGAUGGGCCCCAAAAGGUUACUGACGUCAGCCAAACUCCGAAUGCCGGUAAGUGAGAGCGCAGCAGUGAGACGGUGGGGGAUAAGCUUCAUCGUCGAGAGGGAAACAACCCAGACUACCGACUAAGGUCCCUAAGCGUGUGCUAAGUGGGAAAGGAUGUGGAGUUGCACAGACAACCAGGAGGUUGGCUUAGAAGCAGCCACCCUUGAAAGAGUGCGUAAUAGCUCACUGGUCAAGUGAUUCCGCGCCGACAAUGUAACGGGGCUCAAGCACACCACCGAAGUCGUAGGAUUCGCAUAGUAGGCAGGCCUUCGUGGUCCAGCCGUGCGGAUCGGUAGGAGAGCGUCGUGUGGCCAGCGAAGCGGCGGUGUGAACCAGCCGUGGAGGCCACACGAGUGAGAAUGCAGGCAUGAGUAGCGAAAGACGGGUGAGAAACCCGUCCUCCGAAAGACCAAGGGUUCCAGGGCCAGGUUAAUCCGCCCUGGGUAAGUCGGGACCUAAGGCGAGGCCGACAGGCGUAGUCGAUGGACAACGGGUUGAUAUUCCCGUACUGACGAAGAACCGCCCCAGUCAAUCCAGUGAUGCUAAGUGUCUGAAUCCUUGACCGACGAUCCCUUCGGGGUGAGCGGCAAGGCCUAGCACACGACCCUAUGCUGGUGCGGCUAGCGUAUUAACAGGUGUGACGCAGGAAGGUAGCUGAGCCGGGCGAUGGUAGUCCCGGUGUAAGGACGUAGGGCGAACGAUAGGCAAAUCCGUCGUUCACGCAGCCUGAGAUCCGAUGCGUAUCCCUCACGGGAGAAAUCAGUGAUCCUAUGCUGCCGAGAAAAGCAUCGACGCGAGGUUCCAGUCACCCGUACCCCAAACCGACUCAGGUGGUCAGGUAGAGAAUACCAAGGAGAUCGAGAGAAUCGUGGUUAAGGAACUCGGCAAAAUGCCCCCGUAACUUCGGGAGAAGGGGGGCCGGAUGCGUGAAGGGACUAGCUCCCGGAGCGUUGAAGGCCGCAGAGACCAGUGGGAAGCGACUGUUUACUAAAAACACAGGUCCGUGCCAAGUCGCAAGACGAUGUAUACGGACUGACGCCUGCCCGGUGCUGGAAGGUUAAGAGGAGUGGUCAGCGCAAGCGAAGCUACGAAUUUAAGCCCCAGUAAACGGCGGUGGUAACUAUAACCAUCCUAAGGUAGCGAAAUUCCUUGUCGGGUAAGUUCCG
rnacentral:rRNA from 1 species